rnacentral:lncRNA from 1 species
UCUUUGCAUCUGCAGAGGCCUUCGUCAUCCUCCCGAACGCCAGCCUGGCCUCCGUGUUCCUGCUGAAUAUUGAUGCCAGCCUCACGGGACAACCCCUUCUUAAGCCAGGGAAGUCUGGGAAGUCCCUUGGCUAUGCCGGGGCUUUGGUGGCCCUGAAAAAGUUGCGCCUGUCCAAGGAAUGGUCCAAGGUUGGCGAGAUCAGGGUGACUGUUUUGGAGACGCUGCUGAAGGCAGCCAGCAACUUGGGGAUGUCAAAGCUCAACAAACGGCUGAAGCAAGUGAUUGCUCUUCCAAACAUGUACGGCUCCAGUUUACUGAACGCCACCGUCAUAAUGAACAAGGUGAGUUCCUAGUGGCGGGACAGGUGUGGCAG